rnacentral:rRNA from 1 species
UACGUAGGGUGCAAGCGUUGUCCGGAAUCAUUGGGCGUAAAGAGCGUGUAGGCGGUCCGAUAAGUCGGUUGUGAAAGUCCAGGGCUCAACCCUGGGAUGCCGAUCGAUACUGUCGGACUAGAGUUCGGAAGAGGCGAGUGGAAUUCCCGGUGUAGCGGUGAAAUGCGCAGAUAUCGGGAGGAACACCAAUGGCGAAGGCAGCUCGCUGGGACGUUACUG